CUUUCUCCCAUUCAAAACAAUACGAGUUGACACGUCUUCUGUUAUUCUAUAGUCUUUGUUAUAACAUUACAAACUUUUAUUUGAAGCAAAGAAAAUCUGACAAAAAGACAAGAGUACAAGACUGUGCACUUAGCUGAGAUCUGCCUCCAUCCAAUCAACAACCCAUGUGGAUAUACGUCACUACAGAGAAGAAAAAAUCUGUCUCUACUUCCUUUACAACGCAACUUAAAAGAGGGUGUGGAAGAGUGAGAGGAAGAGAUGCUCCAGCUCUGUGGGAGGCAGAACGCCUGAGGGUCUGGGCCUGUGGCUCACGGUGAGGCGUGAAUGAGCAAACCCAAUGAGCUGCUGCAGUGGAGGAAGACACGUCACCAUCGCUGUGGAGAUCUCCACCUUAACCGACCCUCACAACUGUACAUAAUAAUACACCUCCAAACCAUAACACACAGUAUCUGCCAGCUGUUUCAUAAAUUGCGUUUCCAUUGCUGUAUGGAAAAGAUGCACUGCUGUUCUCCAUACAAUGAUCAGGAGCUGUCAAGCAAAGUAAAAUAAAAAUCAUUUAAAUAACUGAAAUUAUUUAUUUAUUUGUAUUUUUAAUUUUCAUUGUAUUUUACAUAAUAGCCAAUCAAUUGUUGUAGUGUGAUAAUUGUUGAUAUGUCCCAAAAAGCAGACAAAAUGGUUCUGGAUAUCAGUGUUAAUUGUACAUAAAAAUAUAAGUCAUCUCUAUUACACACUAAUUAACUUUGUAGAAGCACUCAUACGAGAACAUGUCAGUAUGUUUUUAAUUUCAAUAUCAAAUAAAGCAGAAAAAAAAAAUAAAACCUCUCUCUUUCCCUGUCACUUUCCAACUCUGUUUUUUUUUUUUCUUUUUCUCAAGCGUAGAGCUCGCAUUAACAGAAUCUCGGAUAAAUGCAACUUGAGAAUCUCAGUUAAAUAAAUGGUACCUCUCACGCGCUCACACUCUCCCACCAUCAACCCCCCCAACACACUCACACAAUCACACACAAGUACACACAAACGCACACACGCGCACGCAAGCACACCCGCAGAAACAGAUUAAGCUCAAAUCAAUGGCUGGAGCUGAAGCGGAGGAGAGAUUUCACCCUGGCUUCUCGUUAAGGCCUGGCUGAGGCGCGGAGGCUCGGGGGAGUGUUAUUACCAGGGUGAUGGUUGAUAAGACGCUCGUUCCUCCACGCCGCGUCCCGCGGGACAGAUACAUCGCGCA